ensembl:snRNA LOC120101114 U2 spliceosomal RNA
AUCGCUUCUCGGCCUUUUGGCUAAGAUCAAGUGUAGAGUAUACCAUGAUAGUAUGACCUACUGAAUCAACUAUAGAGAAUCCUAUGCUUGUCAAUUCAUUUUUGUGAAGGCAAGCAUGGGGCAUACAUGGUCUACAUACCCUCUUUUUUAUGUUAUGGGUA